CCUACGGGAGGCAGCAGUGGGGAAUAUUGCGCAAUGGGCGAAAGCCUGACGCAGCGACGCCGCGUGCGGGAUGAAGGUCUUCGGAUCGUAAACCGCUGUCAGCAGGGAAGAACGGUCACUGUGCUAAUCAGCAGUGAAUUGACGGUACCUGCAAAGAAAGCACCGGCUAACUCCGUGCCAGCAGCCGCGGUAAUACGGAGGGUGCGAGCGUUAAUCGGAAUUAUUGGGCGUAAAGCGCUCGUAGGCGGUAUGUCAAGUCAAGGGUGAAAUCCCCGCGCUCAACGCGGGAACUGCCUUUGAUACUAGCAAACUGGAGUGUGUGAGAGGAUAGUGGAAUUCCAGGUGAAGGAGUGAAAUCCGUAGAUAUCUGGAGGAACAUCAGUGGCGAAGGCGACUAUCUGGCACAUAACUGACGCUGAGGAGCGAAAGCGUGGGUAGCAAACAGGAUUAGAUACCCCAGUAGUC
rnacentral:rRNA from 1 species